rnacentral:rRNA from 1 species
AGUGAACGCUGGCGGUAGGCCUAACACAUGCAAGUCGAACGGCAGCACAGUAAGAGCUUGCUCUUACGGGUGGCGAGUGGCGGACGGGUGAGGAAUACAUCGGAAUCUACUUUUUCGUGGGGGAUAACGUAGGGAAACUUACGCUAAUACCGCAUACGACCUACGGGUGAAAGCAGGGGAUCUUCGGACCUUGCGCGAUUGAAUGAGCCGAUGUCGGAUUAGCUAGUUGGCGGGGUAAAGGCCCACCAAGGCGACGAUCCGUAGCUGGUCUGAGAGGAUGAUCAGCCACACUGGAACUGAGACACGGGCCAGACGCCUACGGGAGGCAGCAGUGGGGAAUAUUGGACAAUGGGCGCAAGCCUGAUCCAGCCAUACCGCGUGGGUGAAGAAGGCCUUCGGGUUGUAAAGCCCUUUUGUUGGGAAAGAAAAGCAGCAGGUUAAUACCCCGCUGUUCUGACGGUACCCAAAGAAUAAGCACCGGCUAACUUCGU